UACGGAGGGGGCAAGCGUUGUCCGGAAUCAUUGGGCGUAAAGAGCGUGUAGGCGGCCAGAUAAGUCCGCUGUGAAAUCUCGAGGCUCAACUUCGAGCUGUCGGUGGAAACUGUCUGGCUAGAGUCCGGAAGAGGAGAAUGGAAUUCCUGGUGUAGCGGUGAAAUGCGCAGAUAUCAGGAAGAACACCCGUGGCGAAGGCGGUUCUCUGGGACGGUACUGACGCUGAGACGCGAAAGCGUGGGGAGCGAACAGG
rnacentral:rRNA from 1 species